CAAUAAUCUCUCUCUCUCUCUCUCUCUCUUUCUUCUAAAUUGUCUAUCUUCAUCGACCUCAAGGCCGAUGAAGAUAGACAAUUUAGAAGAAAGAGAGAGAGAGAGAGAGAUAUUAUUG
rnacentral:pre_miRNA from 1 species